rnacentral:rRNA from 1 species
AUUGAACGCUGGCGGCGUGCUUAACACAUGCAAGUCGAGCGGCAGCGCGGGAGCAAUCCUGGCGGCGAGCGGCGAACGGGUGAGUAAUGCUUCGGAAUCUGCCCAGUAGUGGGGAACAACCAGUCGAAAGACUGGCUAAUACCGCAUACGACCUAAGGGUGAAAGCAGGGGAUCGCAAGACCUUGCGCUAUUGGAUGAGCCGAAGUCGGAUUAGCUAGUUGGUGAGGUAACGGCUCACCAAGGCGACGAUCCGUAGCUGGUCUGAGAGGACGACCAGCCACACUGGGACUGAGACACGGCCCAGACUCCUACGGGAGGCAGCAGUGGGGAAUAUUGSACAAUGGGGGAAACCCUGAUCCAGCGACGCCGCGUGUGUGAAGAAGGCCUGCGGGUUGUAAAGCACUUUUAGUGGGGAGAAACCCCCGACCUAAUACGUCGGGGAUUUGACUACCCAAAGAAAAAGCACCGGCUAACUCUGUGCCAGCAGCCGCGGUAAUGCAGAGGGUGCAAGCGUUAAUCGGAAUUAC